rnacentral:rRNA from 1 species
CCGAGAUUUACUGGGGUAAGAGGUCUCGUACUCUGAUAUUUGAGUCAGGGGCGGAUUUCCUGAGUUCUACUCCUGACUGGCGUUUGUUGCUUGGUAUUCUUCGAGUGUGCAGAUCUAGAUGUAUUGACGACUGUAGCAGCUGCAAAUUGGUUUAUAUUCGCAGGUUUUCCAUUGGCGAGGGCGGACUUUUUUGGGCUAUAACUGGCGUCUGAGGUCCGUCAUCGUGGGGAGCACACACGAUUCCGAUCCCCGGGUCGUCGGCUCCGUCUACCGAUGACUGUUACCCGUCGGGCAGUUUACUCUUCGUGUGUGCAGCCUGCGGGUUGUACGGUCCCCGGGGGAGUCCUAUCGCAAGAUUAAAAUCAAAGGAAUUGGCGGGGAGCCUGCACAAGCGGUGGAGCUCUGUAGUGUAAAUUCGAAGCAACGCGCAGACAUAUUAACAGACCUUGACAUGUCCGGCUAUUCAGAGAGAUUUGGAGUUGUCCUUCGGGGACCGGAGCACAGGUUCGACCGAGCUGUCGUCAGCUCUCGUCGUGAGAUGUUGGGUUAAGCCCCGCAACGAGCGCCACCCUCGUUCUUAUUCGCCAGCAUUCUCUUGGACACUCUAGGGGGGCUUACGGUGAUAAGCCGAGAGGAAGGUGGGGAUGACGUCAAGCCCUCAAUGUUCUUACGGGCUGGGCUACACACGUGCUACAAUGGUGGUGACAGUGGGCAGCGAAGGAGCGAUCCUGAGCUAAUCUCCAAAAGCCAUCUCAGUUCGGAUUGCACUCUGCAACUCGAGUGCAUGAAGUUGGAAUCGCUAGUAAUCGCGGAUCAGCACGCCGCGGUGAAUACGUUCCCGGCCCUUGCACUCACCGCCCGUC